AUGAGUUAAUCUUGUGAGAGCCGAUGCUAAUUCUUAUAUGAAGCUCCGAUUUGGAUUCACCAAUUCACAUAUAAUUUAAUGAAAUUCAUAUUGAGAAAGAAAAAAACAUAGCCUUUAAAAAGGAAAGUUUAAAUUUAAUUGAAUUCAUUUUCUUCAUUCUAAGUCAUAAAAGAACUAUUACUAUCAUCGAAUGAAUAAUGUAAUUUAAAAAAUAUAUAAUGAAGGCAUGGAAGAGGAACGACGACUGCCAGAACGAUCUGCAGACUGGCUUGACAUGGUGCCAUAGAUAGCUAACCACUUCCCAGCAAAGGUCAGUUCAUCACUAGAAAAAAGUGGAGAACCAUAGAGGAAACGCAUUGUUACCGCCAUUUGAAAAGGUGUGGUCCUGUUUUAUUACAUAGAGAGUUUGACUUAAACAAUAAUUUAUUUCAAAUAGUUUCCAAAAAAAUAUA